UUGACAUCCAGUCGAACUUUCCAGAGAUGGAUUGGUGCCUCGGGAACGCUGAGACAGGUGCUGCAUGGCUGUCGUCAGCUCGUGUUGUGAAAUGUUGGGUUAAGUCCCGCAACGAGCGCAACCCUUAUCCUUUGUUGCCAGCGAUUCGGUCGGGAACUCAAAGGAGACUGCCGGUGAUAAACCGGAGGAAGGUGGGGAUGACGUCAAGUCAUCAUGGCCCUUACGAGUAGGGCUACACACGUGCUACAAUGGCGCAUACAAAGAGAAGCGACCUCGCGAGAGCAAGCGGACCUCAUAAAGUGCGUCGUAGUCCGGAUCGGAGUCUGCAACUCGACUCCGUGAAGUCGGAAUCGCUAGUAAUCGUGGAUCAGAAUGCCACGGUGAAUACGUUCCCGGGCCUUGUACACACCGCCCGUCACACCAUGGGAGUGGGUUGCAAAAGAAGUAGGUAGCUUAACCUCCGGGAGGGCGCUUACCACUUUGUGAUUCAUGACUGGGGUGAAGUCGUAACAAGGUAAGCGUAGCGAG
rnacentral:rRNA from 1 species